rnacentral:rRNA from 1 species
AGCUCCAAUAGUGUAUAUUAAAGUUGUUGUGGUUAAAAAGCUCGUAGUUGGAUUUCUGCUUGAGUCUUCUGGUCCGUCCUCUGGGCGCGCAUCUGGUUUGGCUUGGGCAUCAUCUUGGGGAACAUUGCUACACUUGAUUGUGUGGUGUGGAAUCCAGGACAUUUACUUUGAGGAAAUUAGAGUGUUUCAAGCAGGCAUUUGCCUUGAAUACAUUAGCAUGGAAUAAUAAUAUAUGACCUUGUUUCUUUUUAUUGGUUUCUAGAGACAAGGUAAUGAUUAAUAGGGAUAGUUGGGGGCAUUCGUAUUUAACUGUCAGAGGUGAAAUUCUUGGAGUAGUUAAAGACGGACUACGGCGAAAGCAUUUGCCAAGGGUGUCUUCA